GGGGGCUGGAGAGAUGGCUCAGCAGUUU
rnacentral:piRNA from 1 species